rnacentral:rRNA from 1 species
AUUGAACGCUGGCGGCAUGCUUUACACAUGCAAGUCGAACGGCAGCGCGGGCUUCUUCCUGGCGGCGAGUGGCGAACGGGUGAGUAAUGCAUCGGAACGUGCCCAGUAGUGGGGGAUAGCCCGGCGAAAGCCGGAUUAAUACCGCAUACGACCUGAUGGUGAAAGCGGGGGACCGAAAGGCCUCGCGCUAUUUGAGCGGCCGAUGUCGGAUUAGCUAGUUGGUUGGGUAAAGGCUUACCAAGGCGACGAUCCGUAGCUGGUCUGAGAGGACGACCAGCCACACUGGGACUGAGACACGGACCAGACUCCUAAGGGAGGCAGCAGUGGGGAAUUUUGGACAAUGGGGGCAACCCUGAUCCAGCCAUGCCGCGUGCGGGAAGAAGGCCUUCGGGUUGUAAACCGCUUUUGUUCGGGAAGAAAUCCUCUGGGCUAAUACCCCGGGGGGAUGACGGUACCGGAAGAAUAAGCACCGGCUAACUACGUG